rnacentral:tRNA from 1 species
GCAGUGGCUCAGUGGUAGAGUAUCAGUUUUGCAUGCUGAAGAUUCCAAGGUCAGUCCUGGCAUCACCA